AUGAGGUUGUUUGUGAGCUUUCAUAAUGGGACUUUGGAUGUGCAACGUCUUAACUAUGGGGUGAUCACGCUUUUGCCCAAAUCUACGGGCGCGGAUAAAAUCCAGCAAUUUAGACCUAUAUGUCUCCUGAGAUAUCCAUACAAGCUUAUUACUAAAGUUUUGGAUCGGCGAGGGGAGAGAUAUGCUGAUAAGCUCAUUAGCACGACCCAAAACACUUUUAUUAAGGGGAGAAGCAUUAUGGAUGGGGUGUUGUCGCUGCAUGAAAUUUUGAAUUAUACCCAUGUGAAAAAGAGAAUGGGGGUUGUCCUGAAGCUCGACUUUGAGAAAGCGUAUGAUAAGGCGAACUGGGACUUCCUGUUGGAAUGUCACAAGCUUCGAGGUUUUAGUGACACGUGGUGCGACUGGAUUAAACAGAUCUUACACAAUGGUACAGUAAGUAUCAAACUUAAUAACCAGGUUGGUCCUUAUUUCCAGAGUGCUAAGGGUGUUCGUCAAGGGGAUCCCCACUCCCCUUUCCUGUUUAAUCUAGCUGCUGAUUGUCUUGCGAAGAUGAUCACCAAUGCCCAAAAAAUAACUUGCUGGUGGGUUUGGCUUCAGAUCUUAUCUCUAAUGGAGUUGAGGUGCUCCAGCAUGCAGACAAUACUAUUGUCUGUUUGGAACUCGAUGUUGAUAAGGCAGUAA
rnacentral:rRNA from 1 species